rnacentral:pre_miRNA from 1 species
UUUAUACUCCCUCCAUCCCGAAAUUCUUGUCUUAGAUUUGUCUAGAUACGGAUGUAUCUAAUACUAAAACGUGACUUGAUACAUCCGUAUUUAGACAAAUCUAAGACAAGAAUUUUGGGAUGGAGGGAGUAGAUU